rnacentral:pre_miRNA from 1 species
GUAGUAUUCCCUCCGUCCCAAAAAUCUUGUCUUACAUUUGUUUAGAUACGGAUGUAUCUAACACUAAAAUGUAACUAGAUACAUCCGUAUUUAGAAAAAUUUAAGACAAGAAUUUUGGGACGGAGGGAGUACAAA